rnacentral:rRNA from 2 species
GUUAAAACUCAAAUGAAUUGACGGGGGCCCGCACAAGCGGUGGAGCAUGUGGUUUAAUUCGAUGCAACGCGAAGAACCUUACCUGGUCUUGACAUCCACGGAAGUUUUCAGAGAUGAGAAUGUGCCUUCGGGAACCGUGAGACAGGUGCUGCAUGGCUGUCGUCAGCUCGUGUUGUGAAAUGUUGGGUUAAGUCCCGCAACGAGCGCAACCCUUAUCCUUUGUUGCCAGCGGUCCGGCCGGGAACUCAAAGGAGACUGCCAGUGAUAAACUGGAGGAAGGUGGGGAUGACGUCAAGUCAUCAUGGCCCUUACGACCAGGGCUACACACGUGCU